rnacentral:lncRNA from 10 species
AUCAAGGUGAAACUCCGGGGACCAGGCUCCACAGCUGCCAUAAACUGGAUGGCACGUUAGAAGCCGGUGGGUGUAGGGUUUGGAUUCAGGAUUUGUUCCUAGUGUCCAAGAUUUUGAUAAGAAACUUACAGAAGCUGAUGCUUACCUACAAAUCUUGAUUGAACAAUUAAAGCUUUUUGAUGACAAGCUUCAAAACUGCAAAGAAGAUGAACAGAGAAAGAAAAUUGAAACUCUCAAAGAGACAACAAAUAGCAUGGUAGAAUCAAUUAAACACUGCAUUGUGUUGCUGCAGAUUGCCAAAAGUACAAUCUUGGUGAGGAAUUUGCUCGUCUUACCACUUGUAUUAGUCUGCAUGGGCUGCCAUAACAAAAUACCAUAGACUGGGUGGCUUAAAGAACAGAAGUUUAUUUUCUCACCGUUCUGGAAGCCAGAAGUCCAAGAUCAACAUUCUGGCCUGUUCAGUUUCUGAUGAGGGUCCUUCUCUUGGCCUGUAGAUAGCCAUGUCUUCACAUAGUCUUUCCUUGAGUACUAUUAAUCCCGUAGAUGCAAUAUAUCAACCUAGUCCUUUGGAACCU